CACUCCCAAGGCAUUUGCCACGGCUUUGUAAACAUCUGUGCAGCAAUACUCGACAUCAAUGGCAGCGUCUUGGUCAAGCGGAAGCGACCGAGUUUUGGGAAGGCGCGAUCUUCGUCGCCGACACACGCUGCGGCAGUCGGAUUAGAGUAGACACAACCAUUAUUUUGGACCCCGCCAGUGGGGGACGUCACAUAGACUAGUCAUCAUUCUUGGGUCGGAGCCAACUCACAUUGAGUUGAGCGGAUGUACACAGACCCCAAAUUGGAAGAACAAGAAUCAAAACAUCAC
rnacentral:lncRNA from 1 species